rnacentral:rRNA from 1 species
GACGGGCCGCACAAGCGGAGGAGCAUGUGGUUAAUUCGAUGAUACGCGAGGAACCUUACCUGGGCUCGAACGUAAGAUGACUGUAGGUGAAAGCUUACAUCUCUUCGGAGCAUUUUACGAGGUGCUGCAUGGUUGUCGUCAGCUCGUGCCGUGAGGUGUCGGGUUAAGUCCCAUAACGAGCGCAACCCCUACCUUUAGUUGCCAUCAGGUAAUGCUGGGGACUCUAAAGGAACUGCCUACGCAAGUAGUGAGGAAGGCGGGGAUGACGUCAAAUCAGCACGGCCCUUACGUCCAGGGCUACACACGUGCUACAAUGGCCGAUACAGAGGGCAGCUACCUGGUGACAGGAUGCAAAUCUCCAAAGUCGGUCUCAGUUCGGAUCGGAGUCUGCAACCCGACUCCGUGAAGUUGGAUUCGCUAGUAAUCGCGCAUCAGCCAUGGCGCGGUGAAUACGUUCCCGGGCCUU